AUUGAACGCUGGCGGCAGGCCUAACACAUGCAAGUCGAGCGGUAGCACAGGGAGCUUGCUCCUGGGUGACGAGCGGCGGACGGGUGAGUAAUGUCUGGGAAACUGCCUGAUGGAGGGGGAUAACUACUGGAAACGGUAGCUAAUAUCGCAUAACGUCGCAAGACCAAAGAGGGGGACCUUCGGGCCUCUUGCCAUCGGAUGUGCCCAUAUGGGAUUAGGUAGUAGGUGGGGUAACGGCUCACCUAGGCGACGAUCCCUAGCUCGUCUGCGGGGAUGACCAGCCACACUGGAACUGAGACACGGUCCAGACUCCUACGGGAGGCAGCAGUGGGGAAUAUUGCACAAUGGGCGCAAGCCUGAUGCAGCCAUGCCGCGUGUAUGAAGAAGGCCUUCGGGUUGUAAAGUACUUUCAGCGAGGAGGAAGGUGUUGUGGUUAAUAACCACAGCAAUUGACGUUACUCGCAGAAGAAGCACCGGCUAACUCCGUGCCAGCAGCCGCCGUAAUAC
rnacentral:rRNA from 1 species